rnacentral:rRNA from 1 species
GACGAACGCUGGCGGCGUGCCUAAUACAUGCAAGUCGAACGAACUCUGGUAUUGAUUGGUGCUUGCAUCAUGAUUUACAUUUGAGUGAGUGGCGAACUGGUGAGUAACACGUGGGAAACCUGCCCAGAAGCGGGGGAUAACACCUGGAAACAGAUGCUAAUACCGCAUAACAACUUGGACCGCAUGGUCCGAGUUUGAAAGAUGGCUUCGGCUAUCACUUUUGGAUGGUCCCGCGGCGUAUUAGCUAGAUGGUGGGGUAACGGCUCACCAUGGCAAUGAUACGUAGCCGACCUGAGAGGGUAAUCGGCCACAUUGGGACUGAGACACGGCCCAAACUCCUACGGGAGGCAGCAGUAGGGAAUCUUCCACAAUGGACGAAAGUCUGAUGGAGCAACGCCGCGUGAGUGAAGAAGGGUUUCGGCUCGUAAAACUCUGUUGUUAAAGAAGAACAUAUCUGAGAGUAACUGUUCAGGUAUUGACGGUAUUUAACCAGAAAGCCACGGCUAACUACGUGCCAGCAGCCGCGGUAAUACGUAGGUGGCAAGCGUUGUCCGGAUUUAUUGGGCGUAAAGCGAGCGCAGGCGGUUUUUUAAGUCUGAUGUGAAAGCCUUCGGCUCAACCGAAGAAGUGCAUCGGAAACUGGGAAACUUGAGUGCAGAAGAGGACAGUGGAACUCCAUGUGUAGCGGUGAAAUGCGUAGAUAUAUGGAAGAACACCAGUGGCGAAGGCGGCUGUCUGGUCUGUAACUGACGCUGAGGCUCGAAAGUAUGGGUAGCAAACAGGAUUAGAUACCCUGGUAGUCCAUACCGUAAACGAUGAAUGCUAAGUGUUGGAGGGUUUCCGCCCUUCAGUGCUGCAGCUAACGCAUUAAGCAUUCCGCCUGGGGAGUACGGCCGCAAGGCUGAAACUCAAAGGAAUUGACGGGGGCCCGCACAAGCGGUGGAGCAUGUGGUUUAAUUCGAAGCUACGCGAAGAACCUUACCAGGUCUUGACAUACUAUGCAAAUCUAAGAGAUUAGACGUUCCCUUCGGGGACAUGGAUACAGGUGGUGCAUGGUUGUCGUCAGCUCGUGUCGUGAGAUGUUGGGUUAAGUCCCGCAACGAGCGCAACCCUUAUUAUCAGUUGCCAGCAUUAAGUUGGGCACUCUGGUGAGACUGCCGGUGACAAACCGGAGGAAGGUGGGGAUGACGUCAAAUCAUCAUGCCCCUUAUGACCUGGGCUACACACGUGCUACAAUGGAUGGUACAACGAGUUGCGAACUCGCGAGAGUAAGCUAAUCUCUUAAAGCCAUUCUCAGUUCGGAUUGUAGGCUGCAACUCGCCUACAUGAAGUCGGAAUCGCUAGUAAUCGCGGAUCAGCAUGCCGCGGUGAAUAUGUUCCCGGGCCUUGUACACACCGCCCGUCACACCAUGAGAGUUUGUAACACCCAAAGUCGGUGGGGUAACCUUUUAGGAACCAGCCGCCUAAGGUGGGACAGAUGAUUAGGGUG